rnacentral:lncRNA from 1 species
UUCUGAACUUUGACAGCCCAUGUCUAAAAGGCAUCUUUUUUUUACCUACAGACCAUCUCUGUCAAAAUCCAGCUCUGCCACGUGCUAUUAAAAGACUGGUGGGAACUGACUUCUAUUUUCCAUAUUCAAAAGGAAUCUACUCAGUCAAUUGGAUUACAACCCAUGCUACUACCCAAAGCAAAAGGUGUAAGUUGGAGCUCAGUGAAAAGAGUGGACAUUUUCAACAGAUGGAGUCCAAGAACCAGUAAGGCAUGACAAAGUGUCUGCAGAAUGACUGAUUUCAUGGAAAUGGCUCUUGAUCUACAGAAAAUCCAGAAAAUCCAGCAGGUCUCCUUCAUCAUGCUGAAUGCUGAAAGAGAAAUGCUAUUCCUCCACAACU